CACAAACAUAGAAGGAAAAGCCAUUGAGUUAUUACAAAUAAAUAGCAUGGAAAAGAAAAUUUCACAUAAACGAGAAAGGAAAUGAAAAAAAUACAACGAACCUUGAUUACAACCGUUCCAGUAAUUCGGCCUCUAUAGCCGUAGAAACUCUUCUACGUAAAAUAAUAGAAAGACCUUAACAUAAUUAGCAGAAUAUAUCAAAAUAUGAAAGGUUUAAAGCGAAAUUACGAUGAUUAGAAACAGAAACAUCAAUUGUGAUAAGAUUAAAUCUGCAUACAAGCAAUCCACGCUUCAACGGCCCGUCGCCACCACACCGGCUCUGACCUCCACAUCGUUCUUCGGUCUAGCUUUCUAGGUUUUGCCGUUGAUUUCUCAACAUUUAGGUUUGGAGGUGUAUAUAUAUAUAUAUAUAUAUAUCAAAAAAUUGGGCCUCCUGAAAAGCUAGGCCUGAGACGGAGGCCUCUUGAUCCUCUCCUUAAU
rnacentral:lncRNA from 1 species